CCUACGGGAGGCAGCAGUGAGGAAUAUUGGUCAAUGGGAGAGAUCCUGAACCAGCCAAGCCGCGUGAGGGAAGACGGCCCUAUGGGUUGUAAACCUCUUUUGUCGGAGAACAAAACCCGGGACGUGUCCCGGACUGCGUGUAUCCGAAGAAAAAGCAUCGGCUAACUCCGUGCCAGCAGCCGCGGUAAUACGGAGGAUGCGAGCGUUAUCCGGAUUUAUUGGGUUUAAAGGGUGCGUAGGCGGUCCGUUAAGUUAGCGGUAAAAUCCCGGGGCUCAACCCCGUCGAGCCGUUGAAACUGGCAGGCUUGAGUUGGCGAGAAGUACGCGGAAUGCGCGGUGUAGCGGUGAAAUGCAUAGAUAUCGCGCAGAACUCCGAUUGCGAAGGCAGCGUACCGGCGCCAGACUGACGCUGAGGCACGAAAGCGUGGGGAUCGAACAGGAUUAGAUACCCCGGUAGUC
rnacentral:rRNA from 1 species